UGAAAAUGGAGAGAUGUUAGCCGCUCUUUGUAGGUUCAGUUAGCUCUGUUAAAAUACUUUUUUUUUUUCAUCCAAAUUAAGACCCGGUGAUUCUGAAACAGUGUGUACCACGCUAAAAGGGGAGAGUGAGCUGUGUGAGCUGUGUGGAGCGAGUUUAAGUCAGUGGUGUUGCUAAAUUAUCACAAACACCAUAGCCACGUGUGGACUCUUUUUAGCUAACCAGCUGUCACCCUCACUGGACGGGGGAUAACAAACUGAGUGCAUACCUGUGGGAAGCACAUAUUUUUUUCACCAAGCUUCUGAGGUGCUUCGGACGCUGCCAUGCACGCUGUAGUAAAGGUGCUCAGGACUAGCCGCUGCCAGAGAAACCUGGUUUUUGCACAUGGACCAAACCCCAGGACGGGUUCGCUUCAUCACUCAGCUAACCGCUGGACAGAGGGUUUCAACUAAGUAACAGCUUUCUGCAGUUUCCAGGGAACAGCUCUGCGGCAAAUUGAGUCUGAAUGAGCUCCAAAUCAUGUUCAAGUGCAGCCAGAGACACUUCCAACUCUUUCGGACAGUGAUUCUGCUUGGACAGAGCCAAGGAGCUGGAGAGGGACAGUCAGGGCGACACAGAGACUGACACAUAUCAUCAUGUAAUGUCAGACUGCAGGGCCAAAGAGCUGCCUCAAGGGUGUCUGAGAGCUUGUGACUCCACUGGUGGCAACUUGAACUGGAGGCUGUGAGAACGGCUGGAUGCCAUCAGACAGAAAUGAGCAAGGAGAAAAAUGUACAGACAAGUCAAGACUGAAGCCAAAUUAUCCCUAUUUUCUAAAAGUUACAAUUCAACUUCAGCAGUGAGAGGCAGCAGGGAAAAAGAGCAUUCACCCUCUUGAACAUAUGAAACCUUCACUAAGACUACUUGCAGCAUCUUUGCAGCUAGUGCCAACUGGUCCAAACAUAAAAGAACAUUUAAGAUGGGUUUAUACAUGAUGCAAGGGUGUAACAGGAGUCCUGCUGUAGACUCCAACAGCACGGGAUUUGAUUUAUAAUUCAGUGUCAUAUUUCUUACAUUAAUACCGCUGCACCACUUGAUGACUGUGUCGUACACAUUCAGACUAUGUCAUGCUUUAAUUAUGUUUCCUUACUGUGUCACAUUGUUUCAUUAUUUUGUCAUAUAUUACUUUGUGGGCCAUACAUAUACUAAUAGGACUGGAGUAACUUCUGUUUGGCCAUGUCUAAAUACUGAAAGGAGAAUAUUGUUUCAUGGACUAUUAUAAAGUACAGUGAUUGUGGUGAGCGGGUUGGCAAUAGUAAUGUUUAAUUUGUUUGAUACGUGUUAUUG